UAUUCAUUGUGUAAAGUAACGUGGUAAGAGUAUAAUAUUCGAUAGUGGAUAUGUAAUGACGCCUGGAGUAGGCGCGCACAAGUAUCACAAAACCCUUGUAAAUUGGAAUGAUGCUGGAAAAAUUUGCAUUAGUGAAGGAGCUCACCUUGCUGUCAUCAAUUCAGCAUUAGAAGAGUCGAUAAUUUCGAAAUAUCAAGUAGACAGCUAAACGAUCUGUGGAUCGGUAUACAUGCACAGUUUAAAAAAGAUGAUUGGGUAACUGUAAAUGACCAGUCGAUCGAUGCAAUCGGUUACUUGCACUGGUGUAAUGGCGAACCGAACAACCCUGGGGGCAAUGAACGCUGCGUCGUUUAUAGUCCAAAAUACAAUCCAAGUUACAAUAGAGUAGGCAUGAAUGACCUAUCAUGUGAUCAAGGAAGAGGAUUUAUUUGUGAAAUUGAUAUGAAUGAUUGUAACAUUGAUUUUUAUAGCAAGCAUGUCUGUCCUUCUUUGGAUGAAUGUCCGGAAUGUAUCGAUAUGAGGACUGUGGAUAUAAGACGUAAGUGAUGUAACAAGUAGCGCUGGCACAAACGCUUGUGCAGCUCGAGAUGUGGUGAAAUGACUGUGUUCAAGACUGCGUCGGGAUAGCGCUAAGACAGAAUUGUUCGAAAAUCAAUACGCUUUGGAAUUUGUUAAUCGAGCCUAAAUAAAAAAUUCUGUAUUGUGAACAUGUAGCAAUAAAAUACAUUUAGUGACAUGA